rnacentral:rRNA from 1 species
UGCAGUCGACGAUGAACCGCUUCGGUGGUGGAUUAGUGGCGAACGGGUGAGUAACACGUGGGCAAUCUGCCCUUCACUCUGGGACAAGCCCUGGAAACGGGGUCUAAUACCGGAUAACACUCUGUCCCGCAUGACGGGGUUGAAAGCUCCGGCGGUGAAGGAUGAGCCCGCGGCCUAUCAGCUUGUUGGUGGGGUAAUGGCCUACCAAGGCGACGACGGGUAGCCGGCCUGAGAGGGCGACCGGCCACACUGGGACUGAGACACGGCCCAGACUCCUACGGGAGGCAGCAGUGGGGAAUAUUGCACAAUGGGCGAAAGCCUGAUGCAGCGACGCCGCGUGAGGGAUGACGGCCUUCGGGUUGUAAACCUCUUUCAGCAGGGAAGAAGCGAAAGUGACGGUACCUGCAGAAGAAGCGCCGGCUAACUACGUGCCAGCAGCCGCGGUAAUACGUAGGGCGCAAGCGUUGUCCGGAAUUAUUGGGCGUAAAGAGCUCGUAGGCGGCUUGUCACGUCGGAUGUGAAAGCCCGGGGCUUAACCCCGGGUCUGCAUUCGAUACGGGCUAGCUAGAGUGUGGUAGGGGAGAUCGGAAUUCCUGGUGUAGCGGUGAAAUGCGCAGAUAUCAGGAGGAACACCGGUGGCGAAGGCGGAUCUCUGGGCCAUUACUGACGCUGAGGAGC